CCUGAAAAGGACAGAAAAGAAAAUUUUUCUUAGAUUACGACAAAAGUGGGGACUAUGUAAUGAAAAAAUAAUCAAUUUGGUUCAGGGUAAUAUUUUUCGCAUAAAUUAUCCUAGUUCAGACUAUCACAAACUGGCGAAAGAAAGAACCCGACACGGGACACGCGGACAACUGACAGUCUUAUGUAAAGCAGAAAAUGACCACCACAAUGGGGGUCACGGUUCAUCUGUACCAAAUACCACAUCAAAGGAACCUUCGGAUCUUUCAAGUUUUCUAAAUUGAGUAACAGGAUUUAAUUCACUAGGUUUGAAUUUUGAUUUCAAAUUAUUUAAAUGUCUGUUAUCUCUGAUUGAUCAUUGUCGGUUUUUGCUUUGGUUGAUUCAUUAUUGGGAUUUUUUUAAACAUCAGAAUUAUUUUAUGGAAUGGUUAUCCCGGAUGUUUUCAGUUGUGAGUAGAAUUCAGUCCGGAUUUUUUUUUUAAAAAAAAAGAGAAUGUCCAGUGUCUAUGUUCUUGGUUCCCUGACAUAUUGUAACCGACAGACCAGAUCGAAGGCUAAUCAAUCACAGGACCCGGAAUCUGGACAGCUCAAACCACGAUCUCAAAUUCUACUGUCAGAACUCAUGUUCAUCAUCCAACAGUCCAAUCAACACGGAUUAUUGACAUCGUGAUAUUCCUUUAAGUACUUGUAUUUAUCUAAUCGUACACGGAAAGUGUUUAUAAAACUGUUUAUAAAUAUCAUUUUAUUUUAUCUAUUAAGGAUGACUUGGAGUUCACAAUUUUGUACAUAAAAUUAAGGAAUAUAUUCUGUAUCAAACUUGUUUUUUUCAAUUUUAGCUAGGUUUUAAAAAUUGGCACAAUAAUUAAAUUUAGGCAAUUUUAGUAUGGAAUGUAAUCGUCAAAUUUGGUAUACAGAACUUAGCAGAAUGAAAAACAAAACAACAAACAGACGAAAUUAACAAGGUACAAAGUUCCAUUUCAAUAACUUUUACAUGAUAGUGUUGAUAUCGUAAAUCUUUAAUUGGGUGGGUGUUUUAUGACACACACGUAGUCGCCAUGUUGUAAAUUUUAUAUACGCAACCAUCCUGGAAAUUCAAAGUUUACAACCUGACACGAGUUUUACUUUUUAUUUUCAGCUUUUUACAAUAAAUCGAAUUUUUUCCCUUUCAAACUUUACAAUCUGAGAUGUGUAUGAUUUUUUUCAUAAUAAAUCAAUUUAUUUCUUCAUCUGAUACAUGUAGUUUAAAAAUACGAAUUUAACUUAGUUUUGUACAUUAUAACAAUUAAAACAUAAAAUCAGUGAAUAAUGCAUAUGAUUAACAGUAAUAAAUCAAAUUCUUGUUUUAAAAAAAUAACAUUUAUCUAUCGAACAUGUGUACGUACGUUUUAUUCUUACAAAUCCAUAUCUGACUUUAUUUUGAAAUCAUGCGAAUUAUUUAUGUUAUUUUCUACUCUCAAAAUGCAUAAAAUAGUACAAUAUUUAUUUGAUAUAUAUAUAUCAGACAUAAAACAAAAACUCAUGGUAUAAAGUUCCUUCAAAUAAAAAUUUAGAUACAUGUAUUUCAUUGGACAAUUUUUUUUAAUAGCAAAACAAAUAAAAAUAAAAACAAACAAACAGAAAAACAAAUUUGGCGUGAAAAUAGUGUAUACUUUUAUGCAGUCCCUGGGUUUUCAACUGAUUGAAACAAUUUGAAUCAAUGGUAUGCUAAAUUGUAUAAAAUAUACAAGGUAGAAAUAUUCAGAAAACAGUAGGAAAGUGAAUCUCUACAUUCUUCUUGGUAGAUGUUGGGCAGAUGUAUCCCUCUGUUAUAUUAAAUUACUUUAAUUUUUACGGAUAAAUUUGAAACUUUGAUUAAUUUACAUGACCCAAAGAUAAAACAAAUUGGUGAAGUGUUUAAUUUACAAAAUAAUUUCUUUAUUACUCAGAAAACUUAUCUAAACUUCUUUAUAGAAACACACAGACUUUCACGGUCACUUGAGAAUCACGUUUCUAGAGAUAAACAUUUCGUGUUUUCCUGGCAAACGCAGGCUUUAUAUUUCUUAUUGUUGUAGACGUUGUGUUUUUGUGUACUUGUAUAUGAUGCCAGAUAUUACUCCCGUUUUUCGUAUUCUGUGCAAUUCAAGCACAGAGUGCACGACCAAAUUGCAUAUUGUAAAACGAAAGUAGUCAAUCGUCAAUGUUUAGGAAAUCAAAUAAGACAUUGAUCUGUGAACAUCAUUUUUUUUUUUAACUUUUCUGCUUAAAAAAUCCACCCUCAUUAUUAUUUAGAACAUAUUUUUGAUGUGCAUAUAAUUAAAAUGGAAUAUUUAA